CCAGUGAUUCCAGACCUGGAGGAGGUUCAAGAGGAAGACCUCACCAUGCAGAUCGCUGCUCCACCAAGUAUCCAGGUGAACAGAGUUAUGACCUACAGAGACCUGGACAACGACCUCAUGAAGUACUCGGCUUUUCAGACCCUGGAUGGAGAGAUUGGCCUGAAGCUGCUUACGAAGGUUUUAGCCCCGGAG